AUUUUGCUCCAUUCAAAUUGUUGUGAAUCAGGAGCAGACAAAGAAAUACUGUUGGGAAAAAAAGACUUUGACGUACAGCAAGCAACAAGCUCCCCGCCCCGCUCCAUUCUGAUGCAUCCACUUUCAGACAAAGAGGGUUUUAAUUUAUUAACCACAAAAACAGAUUCUUAUGGUUUAAUUUUUUUUUUUGCUUAUAAAAUCACAAAAGUAUGUCCUUAAGUUAGUUAAUAAUUGGAAAAACUCAAAAAACAUCUUAAAAUAAUACAUUUGGUCAAUUUAAAAUUUAAAAUUGUGCUUGAGAAAACGUCAUCCCACAGGCUGGAAAUAAAGGCUGAGUGUCAAAUAGUUUUUCUGAAUUCCUUUUUCCCCCCUUUUUAAGGUGAACUGUUUUUGUAGCGCAGCAUAUACGCCCUGUCAAAGCCCUGAAAUUGUUUAAACCUUACUUGUACAAAAACACAGGAAGCCAUUGUUACAGGCUUCAUUUCUUUAUUGUGGAAGUUAUCGCCAUUUCCUCUUGUUUUUGAACCUUCUAGCCUUCAGCUUGUAAUUUUCCAGAAGUCAUGCCCACACUCCAUCCACCAAGGGAGAAGAUUGGACGGCAUGUCAAGCCACUUCAACACCAGAAAGGAAACGGUCACAAUGGCUAAUAAAUGUGAGGAGACCAAUCAGCUUUGGGGAGUCGAGAGCCACCGGGGAGCGGACGCGAAGAGGACGACUGACAGAAGGAUGUGAAGUCCUUAUCGUCAGCAAACUGCUGCUCUGACAUGACGUCAUGUGGAGGAAGAGCCCCUCUACACCCACUGUGCCAUCCCCUAUUUGGACUGUUACAUCAUGUGGAUUGUCUGUGUUCAGCUGGGAGGCAUGCACAUUUUCUGUUUCAUUAUUGGAAGAGGUGUUCAUCUGUUUCUGGGUGUCACUCCUGGAGGAAGACGAAAGAAGAAAUGAAAUGUGUUGAUUGGACCAAAACGGAUGUGAUAAUUCACAGAGACACAGACUGUUAUUCUUUAAUGCAAAGAGGUAACAGACGGAACUAAAAGUACUGUUUUCCUUUUCUUGGUGGCUGUUAAAUACCAAAUAGAUCAAAAAUCCAGAAUUUGUCUAAGGGGGAAAAAAAGCAUACUCAAACUGCAGAAAGAGAGAUGCAGCGAGGUUUACCCAAUAAUGGUACAGGCCGUUUGGAUCUAUGUGUUUAGCAUUCCUCCUUAAGAGGUUUACCGGCCACUGCACUGCUGAGAGCUGAUUCACAGACAAGCAGCAGGAGGGUAAUUACAAAGACUCAUUCCAUCUAAAAAUACAAGUUCUGGUCUCACUACAAUCCCGUCUCAGUUGCAGCUCAGACUGCUGUGGUUUGACAGAAUUCAUAUUUGUGGUUCCAGGUUUGAUUAAUACAGAUCGAUGAAGCUGGAUGGAGGGGUGCAACAUGGAGGAAAAGCCAAAUGAAUAAAUAAAUGAUAAAAGAUGGUCUUGCUCCCCAGGAGGGAUGUAUUUCAUCACCAUUUCCACCCACUAUUCUGCACGUUGCAGUAAAGCCACCAGAUCAGACUCUGAAUGAGUGCAGACAUCAGCCCGGAUCUGCUUAAACCUUCAGCUGCUCUGCUGCCAGACGCUCCUGCUGCUGCUCCUGUCUUUGUGGCAGCGGAGGGGGGGGCACGCCGCGGCUCCACCAGGGCCACAGACAGUCCAUGGGUCAGAAGGGUUAAAAUGUACAAAACUGGACACAAUGGUCGGACCUGAACCUCCACGCUGACCUAGACGGCUCCAAAAACAAAUGCAGCCGAGGAGGUGAAGAGACACAUGGUGGUCUGAUCACAUACAUUACAGAGACAGGCAAGACAAACAGUUCUCAAUGGAUUCUGAUAAAAGCUGCUUUGUCAUAAAACAAGCCAACAGCUCUAAGGUUUCUAUAUCACUCAUUAAAAAUUCUUAACCCUUCAUAACCCUUAGUAUAAUAUUUUAAACACGGAUUUUUAGAGCCCUAUCUCAAUAGCGUGAUCCAAACUUUCCUUAAAGAUAAAAUUCAUAACUUGCCAUGUAGGUCACCGUCACUCCAGUAGGGGCAGUAGAAUUGCUUUUCCUUAUCAUUUCAAAAUAGUUGACUCCAUGAAAUCUCAAAAUCCUUUUUAUUGAGAAAGGUUUUGCUUUAUGGUACAGAUAACUCUCCUUUUGUUUUUCAUUUUUUAAUGACUGUUUGCUGUAUUGAAAGAAUGCAAACUAUGUUGAUAAAUAUUCUUAACUAUACAGUUGCACCAUGUUAAAAAAGUGCGGAUCAAAUUUCUACAAAAUGAUUAAAUGAGGUCCUAUUUUUCCUGAACACUGACAUCAACAUUUUCGCAUCAUAAACUAACAUUGUUGUGAGCACAAACUUACCGAAUCACACAACACAUACAAUAGAUCAUAAUUGAUACCAUCUAUGUCUCAUAAAAGUUGGGGUGGGGGGGGAGUUGUGGAUUUUAUCAAAGGGUUUAAAAAAGUGUCAAUCCAAAAAAAAAAAAAAA